GAUAAGCGCUGGAAACGGCGUCUAAUACCGGAUACGAGCUGCGAAGGCAUCUUCAGCAGCUGGAAAGAACUUCGGUCAGGGAUGAGCUCGCGGCCUAUCAGCUAGUUGGUGAGGUAACGGCUCACCAAGGCGUCGACGGGUAGCCGGCCUGAGAGGGUGACCGGCCACACUGGGACUGAGACACGGCCCAGACUCCUACGGGAGGCAGCAGUGGGGAAUAUUGCACAAUGGGCGAAAGCCUGAUGCAGCAACGCCGCGUGAGGGACGACGGCCUUCGGGUUGUAAACCUCUUUUAGCAGGGAGGAAGCGAAAGUGACGGUACCUGCAGAAAAAGCGCCGGCUAACUACGUGCCAGCAGCCGCGGUAAUACGUAGGGCGCAAGCGUUAUCCGGAAUUAUUGGGCGUAAAGAGCUCGUAGGCGGUUUGUCGCGUCUGCUGUGAAAACCCGAGGCUCAACCUCGGGCCUGCAGUGGGUACGGGCAGACUAGAGUGCGGUAGGGGAGAUUGGAAUUCCUGGUGUAGCGGUGGAAUGCGCAGAUAUCAGGAGGAACACCGAUGGCCAAGGCAGAUCUCUGGGCCGUAACUGACGCUAGGAGCGAAAGGGUGGGGAGCAAACAGGCUUAGAUACCCUGGGUAGUCCACCCCGUAAACGUUGGGAACUA
rnacentral:rRNA from 1 species